ACUCCUUCUCUGCCUGCUGGCUGCCCUCUGUGGUGAGUUAGGGGUUCACAGUGAGGACCACCUUGUGCAAUGGGAGGAAGAAGUAGUGGUCCCCUUGGUCAUGCUCAGCCUCACCUAUGCCGCCUAUGCACAUUCAAUUUCUGAACAUUCUGUUUCCUGGAUCCACCAUCUCCCAUCAAAAGGUCUUCAGUGUGUUGGUGUGAUAUGGGUUAAGGGAAACACUAAGCCCCAACCUUCAGGGCAGAGCUAGCAUCUCCAGAAACACAUAGUAAAAAACAAGAAAACUUACAGCUGAGAAGUGUGAUGGCUGGGGAGGCAGGCGUGUAUUACUGUGCUCA
rnacentral:lncRNA from 1 species